rnacentral:lncRNA from 1 species
AGAAGGAACUUGGGUUCAAACUCAUCUGAACUCAAACCUUAGCUCUGCUACUUAGCUGUGUGACUUUGAUGAAAGAAUGAGUUGAAAUAACAUUAAGCACAGGACUUAGGCUUAGUGGGUGCUCAAUUAAUUAUACCCUUCUUUUACAGCUCAACUUCAGCUUAUUUUGGGGAAGCUAUUUCUGGUUCUCUUAGCUCCCAUGGCCUCCUCCAAAUCCCCCUUUCCUAUGCUCUUUUCCAGCUUUACUGUGAUCUCCGUUUUCCUCAUCCUUCAUCCCAAAUACACUCAGCUAUUUGUCUUCCUUAUCUCUGUAUCUCAAGCAGCUAACACUCUGUCUGGCACGUAUUCAUUGUUCCAGAAUGGUGCUUGCUGAUAAGUGCUUCUAAACUUCUGAUCCCUACCCACCUGCCUUAACAAGUUAAGAUAGUCCUACUUGAGUGAUGGAAGCCAUCCGUUCAUAAGGCUUCUUCAACAGUGUCAAGGGCAAUGUCAGCUCUAGCCGCCUCUGCUUUUCCCAAACUGAAGUGAGCUAGCAACACAGGAUGUGAAGGGAGACUUCAUGGUUUCCAGACCAUGAAACU